rnacentral:rRNA from 1 species
AUGAGCCAUACAAUGAAGCUAUGGGAGAGAGUCAUUGAGCACCGCUUAAGAAGAAUGACAAGCGUGACCAAAAAUCAGUUUGGUUUCAUGCCUGGGAGGUCGACCAUGGAAGCCAUUUUCUUGGUACGACAACUUAUGGAGAGAUAUAGGGAGCAUAAGAAGGACUUGCAUAUGAUGUUCAUUGACUUGGAGAAGGCCUAUGAUAAGAUACCGCGGAAUGUCAUGUGGUGGGCCUUGGAGAAACACAAAGUCCCAGCAAAGUACAUUACCCUCAUCAAGGACAUGUACAAUAAUGUUGUGACAAGUGUUCGAACAAGUGAUGUCGACACCGAUGACUUCCCGAUUAAGAUAGGACUGCAUCAGGGGUCAGCUUUGAGCCCUUAUCUUUUUGCAUUGGUGAUGGAUGAGGUCACAAGGGGUAUACAAGGAGACAUCCCAUGGUGUAUGCUCUUUGCGGAUGAUGUGGUGCUAGUUGACGAUAGUCGGAUGGGGGUAAAUAGGAAGUUAGAGUUAUGGAGACAAACCUUGGAAUCGAAAGGGUUUAGGCUUAGUAGAACUAAAACCGAGUACAUGAUGUGCGGUUUCAGUACUACUAGCUGUGAGGAGGAGGAGGUUAGCCUUGAUGGCCAGGUGGUACCUCGGAAGGACACCUUUCGGUAUUUGGGGUCAAUGUUGCAGGAGGAUGGGGGUAUUGAUGAAGAUGUUGUGACGCCCCCGAUUCAAUCGUACACUAAUCAUGCACGCAAAUGUGUACGAUCAAGAUCAGGGACUCAUGGGAAGAUAUCA